GAUCCUGGCUCAGGACGAACGCUGGCGGCGCGCCUAACACAUGCAAGUCGAACGGAGUCAAGAGGAGCUUGCUUUUCUUGACUUAGUGGCGAACGGGUGAGUAACGCGUGAGUAACCUGCCCUGGAGUGGGGGACAACAGUUGGAAACGACUGCUAAUACCGCAUAAGCCCACGGCCCGGCAUCGGGCUGAGGGAAAAGGAUUUAUUCGCUUCAGGAUGGACUCGCGUCCAAUUAGCUAGUUGGUGAGGUAACGG
rnacentral:rRNA from 1 species